rnacentral:rRNA from 1 species
AGAGUUUGAUCCUGGCUCAGGACGAACGCUGGCGGCGUGCCUAAUACAUGCAAGUAGAACGCUGAAGACUUUAGCUUACUAGAGUUGGAAGAGUUGCGAACGGGUGAGUAACGCGUAGGUAACCUGCCUAUUAGCGGGGGAUAACUAUUGGAAACGAUAGCUAAUACCGCAUAACAGUAUUUAACACAUGUUAGAUGCUUGAAAGAUGCAAAUGCAUCACUAGUAGAUGGACCUGCGUUGUAUUAGCUAGUUGGUGGGGUAACGGCCUACCAAGGCGACGAUACAUAGCCGACCUGAGAGGGUGAUCGGCCACACUGGGACUGAGACACGGCCCGGACUCCUACGGGAGGCAGCAGUAGGGAAUCUUCGGCAAUGGGGGCAACCCUGACCGAGCAACGCCGCGUGAGUGAAGAAGGUUUUCGGAUCGUAAAGCUCUGUUGUAAGAGAAGAACGUGUGUGAGAGUGGAAAGUUCACACAGUGACGGUAACUUACCAGAAAGGGACGGCUAACUACGUGCCAGCAGCCGCGGUAAUACGUAGGUCCCGAGCGUUGUCCGGAUUUAUUGGGCGUAAAGCGAGCGCAGGCGGUUUAAUAAGUCUGAAGUUAAAGGCAGUGGCUUAACCAUUGUUCGCUUUGGAAACUGUUAAACUUGAGUGCAGAAGGGGAGAGUGGAAUUCCAUGUGUAGCGGUGAAAUGCGUAGAUAUAUGGAGGAACACCGGUGGCGAAAGCGGCUCUCUGGUCUGUAACUGACGCUGAGGCUCGAAAGCGUGGGGA